GAACGCUGGCGGCGUGCCUAACACAUGCAAGUCGAACGAGGCCCUUUGUAUUCGUACGAAGGUGUCCUAGUGGCGAACGGGUGAGUAACACGUUGGUGACCUGCCCCAAAGUGGGGGACAACUCCGGGAAACUGGAGCUAAUACCCCAUGUGUUCCGAGGAGUUAAAGGUCCUCGGAAGAAAGGAGCAAUCCGCUUUGGGAGGGGCCUGCGGCCCAUCAGCUAGUUGGUAGGGUAAUGGCCUACCAAGGCUACGACGGGUAGGGGACCUGAGAGGGUGGCCCCCCACACUGGCACUGAAACACGGGCCAGACACCUACGGGUGGCAGCAGUGGGGAAUAUUGCCCAAUGGACGAAAGUCUGAGGCAGCAACGCCGCGUGCGCGAUGAAGGCCUUCGGGUUGUAAAGCGCUUUUCUGGGGGAAGAGAAAGGACGGUACCCCAGGAAUAAGUCUCGGCUAACUACGUGCCAGCAGCCGCGGUAAAACGUAGGAGGCGAGCGUUAUCCGGAUUUACUGGGCGUAAAGCGUGUGCAGGCGGUUUGGUAAGUCGGACGUGAAAGCUCCUGGCUCAACUAGGAGAGGCCGUUCGAUACUGCCAGACUAGAGGGCAGCAGAGGGAGGUGGAAUUCAGGGUGUAGCGGUGAAAUGCGUAGAUAUCCUGAGGAACACCAGUGGCGAAAGCGGCCUCCUGGACUGUCCCUGACGCUAAGACACGAAAGCUAGGGGAGCAAACGGGAUUAGAAACCCCGGUAGUCCUAGCCGUAAAC
rnacentral:rRNA from 1 species